GCCGAUGUAGCUCAAUGGCAGAGCACGGCUUUCGUAAAGCCGGGGUUGUGGGUUCAACUCCCACCAUCGGCU
rnacentral:tRNA from 1 species